rnacentral:tmRNA from 1 species
GGGGGUGCAAUGGUUUCGACAGGGAUUCCGAGGUAUGAUAAGCGGGUAGAGCCGGACAAUCUCUAUAAAGGUCCAACUUUUAAAUAAUAAACGACAACAAUCAAGUUGCAAUGGCUGCCUAAGGGCAGUGCCGCGGUCUCAUACUGACCGCCCGUUCCUCCCGGAAGGACCACGAGCCGGGACUGAGCGUCAUGAGAGUGGUGAACAUGCAUCGGCAGUUUGCCGUUGUACCGGUCAUGGAAAAAACGGCUGCCCGGUCUUUAAGCCUGUUUGCCGGCGUUCUGACCGAUAAGCUUUAAUAGACAAUCUGCACCCGGAGAAAGUUAUAUCAAGGGAUUUUUGGACAGGGGUUCGAUUCCCCUCACCUCCACCA